GCUCGGGUGGCGGAACUGGUAUACGCGCAUGGCUCAGGACCAUGUGGUCGCAAGACCUUGGGGGUUCGAGUCCCCCCUCGAGCA
rnacentral:tRNA from 1 species